ACACGCAUAAUUUUAACACACCGAGUUCACAGUAGUACAAUAGGUUUAUACAGUAAAACAUGUAAAACAUUUAUAUCAUAAAACACGUUCCGUAGAAUAAUCACAAACAAAAUAUAAUCUGGUACAAUCAUCCAUAUAGUAAAAAUAUUGCAGUAAAAAUUAGACUACUUUUUUUUAACUCUUUUCCCUAAAAAUCACUAUCAUAGCUCUGAACCACGUGCUUUUGUUUUCCUCAUAAAAAAAUUAUUUAAUAUGAAUUGAAUGGAAUUAAAUUUUGGAAUGGAAUUACUUCAAAAUGGAUUAAAGCCAGCUUAACAUGAAGAGAUAUAAGUUUAUACACAUUAACUAACUAAAAAGUGUUUUCAAAUAUCUUUUUAAAUCAAUAUGUCAAAAAGCAGUGUAAAGUGAUAUUUGUCAGAAGUAUGAACCGACUUUGAUUAAACUUAUUGAAACAUUUAAUUUUUUUUAACAGCCUAACUAGAAUCACACAGCUGACACUUACGUUUAUUUAACUUUACUCCCAAAAAAAUAAACACAAAGUGGAAAAGGUAAACUGUUAAACUAAAUAGAUAUUUUUAAAGUAUAAAGUAUUGUUCGGUUAAUUUGCACCAUAACCAAUGUUUGUGAAUGCCAUUAUCUUCUUUUUUAUAUUCGUGAAUUUUAUUAAUGUAAACUUUAGUUUAAUUUAGAAUGCUGUAGCAGAAAUAUUUUUGUAGCUUUUCUGAAAAAAUAAAUAAUGUUAAUAUUCUUUAACGCUGGAAAAAAAUCAAACAGUUUAGUAACUUUAUUUUAUCCGACGGCGGCUUUGAUUAAAUCGUAUAUUGUCAGAUCUACAAAAUAUUGCGUAGCUUGUCAAAUUAAAGAAGUUUUUUACAUCAUAGGAAAAAAGAUUGGAAAUGCAGCAACAUAAACUUUUUUCUUUUAAAUAAUUAAUUUAUUUGACAAACUGAAUUCAAUUUAAGCUUGAAAUUAAUUUUGUCUAUAAAUCAUAUGUAAAAAAAAACUCUGUCUGGUCUUGUGGUUUAUACUGCAACUUUUUUUUUAUUAGUAAUAUAAUAAGAUAGUUUGUAAUUGAUUACUUAGAUAAAAUGUAUUGUCAAUUUUGCGUCCAAUAGAACUGUAACUAAGUAAUAAAAGACUUAAAUGUCGCGUCCAACACCAGAGCAGAGAUAAUAUUCAUAACUUUGUUUCAAAAUGCCAAUGGUGGUUUAAAAACUUGUUGUUUGUAAGUUUACUUUAAUUAGUUAGAAAAAGAAAAUGGUGAAAAAAGAAAAGUGAGACAUUAAAGAGUGGGUGUUUUUUUUGAAUGAAACAAGAGUGGGUGUUUUGUUAAAUGUAUUUUAUUUAACUUGCGUCACUAUUUUAUUAUUUUUCCAUUCUUUAUAUAAUAAUGUCAAAUAGGAAAAAUGUUGUACUCGUUAAAAUAAAAUUUUUAAAAGUUCUAUUUAGUUUGUUUUAAUUUUUUAACUAUAUUUAGCAGCCAUUUAAGUUAAUUAGAAUACAAACAAGUGCAGUCAAAAGGAGGCAAUAAGUGUUUUUUCAAUAAUGCUAGCAAUGGAAUUAAUGUUAAUUAUCAAACAUGCAUGAAAAUACGGGUUUUUUAAACACGCAACAGAAACCAUGCGUAACUUUUUACGGCUGAGGUAUUUCAUCAAAACAAUACAAUUUAAUAGUUUUUUGGUAUUGUAAAUAUAAAAGAAUAGAGCAGUUAUUGGAAUUAUGUUUUAGUAAAAACAAAUACGAUAAUUUUAUUGUAUUGUAAGUACAAAGCAUUAAAACAGUUACUGUAAUUGUUUUAUGUCAAAACAACUUUGAUUUUUAUUUUUACAAUUACAACUACCAUGGUCGAAACCCUAGUUUCUUAA
rnacentral:lncRNA from 1 species